GGUAAAUGCUAGAAUAUCACAUUUAGUCAAUUCACCCUCCUCCUUUAUCCGGGCUCAGCGGCGGCUUUGCGCAUGCGCGAUUCAUUAGCAGUCUGGACGCGGGGCAGUGUGGGUCUCCUCUGUGCUCUGACUGCUGCUCGAGGCUACUGUGAGAGUUUUGGGACGGGGGGGAGGGCCUCACGAUGCUCUUUGGGGACAGUAAAUGCAGUGAUACGUGCUUUCACGUUAGUCUCCAAAACACCAGAAAAGUCUCCAGUAACACCAGAAAAAGUCGCUAGAUUUGUCGUUAGUCGCUUUUGACAAAAAAGUCGCCAAGAGGAUUUGGAAAGUCGCCAGAUUUAGCAAGUUGUGCCCCGGUGUUUAAUCGAAUACCUUGGUUUGGCGCCAGGACGUUGCCAAACAUUUUCGUUGUACGUACAGGAAAACGGAGCUUGAAGUGUUCGAUGUCGAAACACGCACAUUUAUCUGUGUUUGUGGCAGCCUGGCUGCAAUGUGGCACUGAAUGUCACAGUUUAUCGGCUUCAUGCGUAACCAACCAUACGCCGCUGGAUUCACAAGGACUCUAAUCCAAAAAGAUUUGGAAUCAUUUGGGUCAUCACCCGGGAUGAGAUGGCGGCGGCAGCAGCUGAAUGAACCUUUCUUCUGGACUCAGUGUAUCAGUCAGGCAUUUUAAAAGUCCUGCACUGCUUUGGUUACUGGGUAAACUGUGCCUGGUUUCGGCCUGAGGCUGCCUGUUACUCUGUGCUCACUUUAUACUCUGACACAUUAGAUUAAUUGUCUGUACCACUGUUUGGGGCACUGGCUUUCUCUAGUGCUCAUUCAGCCCCUAGACAAUCUGUUAGAAUACAUGGCAUGCAUGAUAUUUUGUCAAGUUAAACAUUAGAUUAAAUAAACUGGGCUUUUUACAUGAUUUAAAACAUAAACAGCACUUUGUAUCUUUAAGCUUACAUCUUACAGCUUAAAGCCUUACCUUUUUGGACAAACAAACCUGCAUUUCUUGUUCUCAGUGAACACACCUCAUUUCAGGGCCAUGCCUGUGGUGACUAGAUCUUUUUCCUCUCCUAUUUCUAAAUUGACUAUGGUGGUGUUCCACACUUGACUUUUUUUUUUUUUUAAGUUGCCGGAGUGUUCCCUGACUAUUUGAAGACUUUGUCUGAAUUUUGGCACGUUACCGCAGAGUUGCACAAAGCUAGGUCAUUUUUCCAUUGUUAAAUGGUGAAGACCCUGAGCAGGCUUAGUGGUUAGACUGAGUGAUUCUUCAUACACAUGAAGUUGUGCUGUGACAUGUUGUAAGCCCGUCUUGAUAAGUGCAGUUGUGCUGUUUUCUAAAUCGUCAAU